rnacentral:piRNA from 1 species
UGUGAGAAUUGAGAGAUCCUCUUUUCAAUU